AUCCUACGGGAGGCAGCAGUGGGGGAUAUUGCACAAUGGGGGGAACCCUGAUGCAGCGACGCCGCGUGGGUGAAGGAGCGUUUCGGCGCGUAAAGCCCUAUCGGCAGGGAAGAAGAUGACGGUACCUGACCAAGAAGCCCCGGCUAACUACGUGCCAGCAGCCGCGGUAAUACGUAGGGGGCAAGCGUUAUCCGGAUUUACUGGGUGUAAAGGGAGCGCAGGCGGUCUGGCAAGUCUGAUGUGAAAUACCGGGGCUCAACUUCGGGACUGCAUUGGAAACUGUCAGACUGGAGUGUCGGAGAGGG
rnacentral:rRNA from 1 species